rnacentral:sRNA from 1 species
GCUGGGUACAGUGGUGCAUGCCUGUAAUCCCAGUGAUUCAGGAGGCUGAAACUGGAGGAUUGCAAGUAUGAGGUGAGCCUCAGCAACUUAGUGAGAUCCUGUCUCAA